rnacentral:misc_RNA from 1 species
GAUGAAGAACGUAGCGAAAUGCGAUAAGUAAUGUGAAUUGCAGAAUUCAGUGAAUCAUCGAAUCUUUGAACGCACAUUGCGCCCGCCAGUAUUCUGGCGGGCAUGCCUGUUCGAGCGUCAUUUCAACCAUCAAGCCCCCGGCUUGUGUUGGGGACCUGCGGCUGCCGCAGGCCCUGAAAACCAGUGGCGGGCUCGCUAGUCACUCCGAGCGUAGUAAUACAUCUCGCUCAGGGCGUGCUGCGGGUUCCGGCCGUUAAAACACCUUAUUUACCCAAGGUUGACCUCGGAUCAGGUAGGAAGACCCGCUGAACUUAAGCAUAUCAAUAAGCGGAGGA